rnacentral:rRNA from 1 species
CAUGCAGUCGAACGGGAUCCAUCAGGCUUUGCUUGGUGGUGAGAGUGGCGAACGGGUGAGUAAUGCGUGACCGACCUGCCCCAUACACCGGAAUAGCUCCUGGAAACGGGUGGUAAUGCCGGAUGCUCCGACUCCUCGCAUGGGGUGUCGGGAAAGAUUUCAUCGGUAUGGGAUGGGGUCGCGUCCUAUCAGGUAGUCGGCGGGGUAACGGCCCACCGAGCCUACGACGGGUAGCCGGCCUGAGAGGGCGACCGGCCACAUUGGGACUGAGAUACGGCCCAGACUCCUACGGGAGGCAGCAGUGGGGAAUAUUGCACAAUGGGCGCAAGCCUGAUGCAGCGACGCCGCGUGCGGGAUGACGGCCUUCGGGUUGUAAACCGCUUUUGAUCGGGAGCAAGCCUUCGGGUGAGUGUACCUUUCGAAUAAGCACCGGCUAACUACGUGCCAGCAGCCGCGGUAAUACGUAGGGUGCAAGCGUUAUCCGGAAUUAUUGGGCGUAAAGGGCUCGUAGGCGGUUCGUCGCGUCCGGUGUGAAAGUCCAUCGCUUAACGGUGGAUCUGCGCCGGGUACGGGCGGGCUGGAGUGCGGUAGGGGAGACUGGAAUUCCCGGUGUAACGGUGGAAUGUGUAGAUAUCGGGAAGAACACCAAUGGCGAAGGCAGGUCUCUGGGCCGUUACUGACGCUGAGGAGCGAAAGCGUGGGGAGCGAACAGGAUUAGAUACCCUGGUAGUCCACGCCGUAAACGGUGGAUGCUGGAUGUGGGGCCCGUUCCACGGGUUCCGUGUCGGAGCUAACGCGUUAAGCAUCCCGCCUGGGGAGUACGGCCGCAAGGCUAAAACUCAAAGAAAUUGACGGGGGCCCGCACAAGCGGCGGAGCAUGCGGAUUAAUUCGAUGCAACGCGAAGAACCUUACCUGGGCUUGACAUGUUCCCGACAGCCGUAGAGAUAUGGCCUCCCUUCGGGGCGGGUUCACAGGUGGUGCAUGGUCGUCGUCAGCUCGUGUCGUGAGAUGUUGGGUUAAGUCCCGCAACGAGCGCAACCCUCGCCCUGUGUUGCCAGCACGUCAUGGUGGGAACUCACGGGGGACCGCCGGGGUCAACUCGGAGGAAGGUGGGGAUGACGUCAGAUCAUCAUGCCCCUUACGUCCAGGGCUUCACGCAUGCUACAAUGGCCGGUACAACGGGAUGCGACACGGCGACGUGGAGCGGAUCCCUGAAAACCGGUCUCAGUUCGGAUUGGAGUCUGCAACCCGACUCCAUGAAGGCGGAGUCGCUAGUAAUCGCGGAUCAGCAACGCCGCGGUGAAUGCGUUCCCGGGCCUUGUACACACCGCCCGUCAAGUCAUGAAAGUGGGUAGCACCCGAAGCCGGUGGCCUAACCCUUUGUGGAUGGAGCCGUCUAAGUAGAC